rnacentral:ncRNA from 1 species
AACGAUGCGAUGAGAAAGAAUAGUACAUGUUGCGAUUGCCUCCAGAGAGCUUGUGGGUGGUGGGAACAAGCGGCUAGCAAUAUGGAAUGGGCUUUUGAGCAUCCGGCUGAAGCAAAGUAGGCUUGGACGUUUGCCUUACGUUACAAAGGUACCAUCUGCUUGUGUCAGAUGGAACGGAGUGAUUGCGCGCGUACCGCGCAAUAACUAGGGUGGCAACACGGUUCUAUCGUCCCUAAC